CUAAGGCCAGCGUCAUCGCAGAAUAUCGCUGAAGCCGGUGAGUCUGGGGUGCUUUGUUAUGCAAUAAUAGAGAAUUCUGUUGGUCCAGAAAUAGCCACAGAGGCCAGAUAUGUCAAUAAACAGUGAAAACUGUCCUGCUCCAGCACUUUAAACCAUGCUACUGGUUUUUCUCUUCGGCGAUUCCGGUAACCGGAAGUCUUUCGUACCAUGAAGUUUUGCUGGGACUUGCGUCAGUGACAACUUUGACGGCUGUUUUCUCUCACAGGACCUUUCAGAGCCUUGAGUGUCACUCCUGGAAGAGACUGGGGAGACGGUGCACCCAGAGAGGAACAAAACGGGGAGACGUGGUCUGAACCAAAAACCAGAUUAAAAUGCAGUGUUAUCUGGGGGUGCUUUUCCCCCCGAGGGAAAACCCCUUUCGUCAUCUGAGGCCAUUGGCAGGUCCCCCCGUGGAGUUGGGUUGACCAAGCAGAACCGGUGGUACCGGAGCCAUCUGGUAAGGUGUUCACGCCUGAGUCUGGCCCAACUGCCCGACCUGCUGGGACAUUAAUUAGGGACCCGAGCAAGUAUCAUCCUGCUCUUACUUCCUGUCUCCCAGGCAGAAGCUACAAGUUUCAGGAAUUCCUGGGCCCUGCACCGCUGGAUCAAGCUCCUUAUGGCAGAGGGAAGAGUGAAGGUUAUCAUGCCGUCUUUGAACGGGCCAGAGUCUGGGUGAAGGAAGGAAGAGGAACAAAUGAGAAGCUCAGCUUCCUUGCAGGGGGCAGAUUCGGCAUCAGGUACAGUGCCUUACAGAGAUUUUUGGUGGAUGAAAAAAAAAUACGGCAGAUUUUUAAAUACAGAGAUGGCGUCAAAGCUCCAGGAAAUUGCAUUCAGAAAGGAAUCCUGUAUGUUGACUUCUUGUGAAAACUAAU